rnacentral:rRNA from 1 species
UCCACUGAACCUUUUCAUUAGAGAAGGAGAAGUCGUAACAAGGUUUCCGUAGGUGAACCUGCGGAAGGAUCAUUGUCGAAUCCUGCCUAGCAGAAUGACCAGAGAA